CAGCGUCACAGUAACAGUAUAUACACCCGGUAACCCGGGAAUGGUUUGGACUGAAACCAUAGUUUCAGUCAGGCUGCUUUUGGAUCGGACGAAAUGGGUUAAGUGCCUAAAUCAGUUUAGUUUGGUCUGGGCUUUAAUUAUUGUUGGACUUGAAGCUCGCAAUCUCGUCAAAUAUGCUUGUAAGGGCUUGUACAAUGGUGCUAUCUUAGAAGUGUUACGUAGGAUAAAUGAUAAGGUGAAGCAGAGAUAACGUGUAAGAGAAGGCUUGUCUUCUCUUAUUUAAGAGAAGACAAGAGAUGAUCUCUUAACACAAUAUGUCUCAUCAUAUUUUUAGGAAUGACUAGUUAUUGAAGAUAAGGCUAAGAGAUGAUCCAUCGUAGACUUUUUUUGUCAUCUUUAAGUUACAUGCAUGACUUAAGAUAAGACUAUCUUAUCGACCAUUGUACAUACCCUAAUAGGUAAUUGUCAUGACCCAAUUCUUAUACCUAUGAACAUGAUUCGAAUCCAUAAAGUCGGCGAGAUUUCUCAAAAAAAUAAAAAUAAUUGGACCGGGUUUGUUUGGUCUGGACAGGAACCGAACGGCCUCAGAUCAUGUUAACCCAUAGUCUUAAACCAAAUCAACACGGGUAGGUGACCUAGAUGAGGAGCGCCUCUACGGCCGCCGCCCGCUGCUAAGGUUAGGGAUCUUUCGAUGUCGCUGUCGUUGCUGCCGACUGGAGCUUGGUCGCCGCCUUCCCCACCCUCUGACACCAUCCGGCUCCGGCCGGUGGAUCGCCGUCUUCCCCUUCCUUGGCUGGAGUUUGGUCACCACCUUCCCCUCCCUUUGACACCAUCCGUCCGGUGGAUCACCGUCUUCCCCUUCCUUGGCUGGAGCUUGGCCUCCGCUCGCCGCUACGGUUAGGGCUAGCCAGUUGAUGUUGCCGUUGCCGUUGCCGCUGGCUGGAGCUCAGCAGUACAUGUAUUGUGUAAUCUGACGAGACAUUUGAUCCAAUCCGAGCUCCUAUCAGUCGCUUAGUCCAUCUAUGAUGUGUUGUCAAAGAAAAAGGAGCAACUGAGAAAUGGAGCUGAUGUUGGAGCGUGGACGAAACUAGGCUACCCUCUUUACUUGUUAUGUAAAGCUAGUGUUUGGUCCUCAGUUGGUUGCUUUGUAAUGAAAACCAGUGUUCUUUUGGUCAUUCUCCAACUUCGAAUGUUGAAUCACGCUGGAACAGUUGAUAUCCUUUUAUGGCAGAGAACCGAUUCUAGGGAA